AUGCUCACUUUGGUGAUGUUGUUACGUUUGAUACUACAUUUGGGACAAAUAAAGAGUAACCCUUUGGUGUAUUUGUUGGCUUCAACCAUUUUAGAGAAAUGGUCAUUUUUGGUGUUGCACUUCUAUACGACGAGACAUUUGAAUCCUUCAAAUGGUUGUUCAACACUUACUUAUCCAUACAUAACAAAAAAACAGCCUAGAACUAUCUUUACUGGCCAGGACAUAGCAAUGGGUAAUGCAAUUCGGGCGGUAUUUACAGAAGCAUGGCAUGGAUUGUGCACUUUUCACAUAAUGCAAAAUGCCAUCAAACAUUGA
rnacentral:rRNA from 1 species